AGAGUUUGAUCAUGGCUCAGGAUGAACGCUAGCUACAGGCUUAACACAUGCAAGUCGAGGGGAAACGACAUCGAAAGCUUGCUUUUGAUGGGCGUCGACCGGCGCACGGGUGAGUAACGCGUAUCCAACCUGCCCAUCACUUGGGGAUAACCUUGCGAAAGUAAGACUAAUACCCAAUGAUAUCUCUAGAAGACAUCUGAAAGAGAUUAAAGAUUUAUCGGUGAUGGAUGGGGAUGCGUCUGAUUAGCUUGGUUGGCGGGGUAACGCCCACCAAGGCUACGAUCAGUAGGGGUUCUGAGAGGAAGUCCCCCACAUUGGAACUGAGACACGGUCCAAAACUCCUACGGGAGGCA
rnacentral:rRNA from 1 species